rnacentral:rRNA from 1 species
UAAGGCCCUUUCGGGGGUACACGAGCGGCGAACGGGUGAGUAACACGUGAGCAAUCUGCCCUUCACUUUGGGAUAACCACCGGAAACGGUGGCUAAUACCGAAUAUGACCAGUCUCUGCAUGGAGUGCUGGUGGAAAGUUCCGGCGGUGGAGGAUGAGCUCGCGGCCUAUCAGCUUGUUGGUGGGGUAAUGGCCUACCAAGGCGACGACGGGUAGCCGGCCUGAGAGGGUGACCGGCCACACUGGGACUGAGACACGGCCCAGACUCCUACGGGAGGCAGCAGUGGGGAAUAUUGGACAAUGGGCGAAAGCCUGAUCCAGCAACGCCGCGUGAGGGAUGACGGCCUUCGGGUUGUAAACCUCUUUCAGUAGGGACGAAGCUAACGUGACGGUACCUACAGAAGAAGCACCGGCCAACUACGUGCCAGCAGCCGCGGUAAUACGUAGGGUGCGAGCGUUGUCCGGAAUUAUUGGGCGUAAAGGGCUCGUAGGCGGUUUGUCGCGUCGGGAGUGAAAACUCGGGGCUUAACUCCGAGCCUGCUUCCGAUACGGGCAGACUAGAGGUAUGCAGGGGAGAACGGAAUUCCUGGUGUAGCGGUGAAAUGCGCAGAUAUCAGGAGGAACACCGGUGGCGAAGGCGGUUCUCUGGGCAUUACCUGACGCUGAGGAGCGAAAGUGUGGGGAGCGAACAGGAUUAGAUACCCUGGUAGUCCACACCGUAAACGUUGGGCGCUAGGUGUGGGACUCAUUCCACGAGUUCCGUGCCGCAGCUA